ensembl:lncRNA
GUAGUAAAGUCUCACAUGGUGGUUUUUUUUCUAUUCUGGGAACUAUAACUAAACUAUUUUAGCAGAAAAGACAUAUACACUUAUCAUGACAGGCUUUAUGACAGGUUUUAUGACUUAUUAACCAGCAGCAACAGAAUGACUGAGACAGCAUCUACAGCAGCAGAGAAAUUGGAAGAUGGCUCCACUGGGAAUACUUUUUUGUGAUCUAGUAUUUUCCAAGGGAACGUUAUGAGACACAGGGAGGAAUUUCAUGUCUAUUUUGAUGCACAGCCUGUAGAUAAAAUCUGGGAUUGUACUGCUAUAUUACAAGUAUUUUAUUAUGAUUCUAAAAACCUCAGUCAGUAUAUAUCUGCAUGGAUCGGGCACAUAGAGACUCUAACAGCAUUUGUUCAGCUAAGGGUGACUUAAGAGUCAAAAAAAUAUUCAGAAAAAGUUUCUCCUCUGAACUCAUAUGUGGGAAUAAGAGGUUCUAUUAGAUCUUAUGGUAAACAGAAUUCAGAAGUAGAAAUAAUGUUAAAAUGUAUGCCUUGAUAAAGUUUGAAAGGAAGUGAAAAUGCAUAUUCAGACAGCAACACUGAAGUCAUAUCAUGUGCACCUAGGAAGAAAUUAUGAAAACUGUUCUCACCUGCAUAAAUAUUGAUGUUCCUUGAUGACAAAUAUUAUUAUUUUAAUGGUGGCACUCUGAGUCCAGUCAUCAAGCUGAGCUCUUCCCCUUAGGUGUGCUGAUAUUGCCUUGGAAGCAUUACAGUGGCCAGCUGGAGGAGGCAUGGUGUGCUCCCUGUGUGAACGGCGCCAGUGAGAGCAAGGUGUGAGCGGAGAUGGAGAUAGCUGUUGGAUGGUCAGGAGCAGCAUACUUGUGUGGAUGAGGUCCAGCAUACUCUCAGAACAGUUUUGUCUAAAUAAACUGGGCUUACACUUUUCAGCACUCCUGAGAUACUUAAAAACACAUUUCUAUAAGCCCCAAGGAGAUACAGGUGGCUUCUGCUCACGGGAAGCUGCACUCCAAUUACAGCAGGAGCACCAGUGGGCCAGCGGUGCCAGCACUGCAGGAACAGGGUGAAACCUCGCUUCGAGACCAUGGAUGAGGAGUGGGGCAUGGAGAGCUCUGCUCCCAGGUCUGUCAGUAAUUUACUGGUACAAAAGUACCAUUGGGGCCAGUUGUAGAGGGCUGGAGCUGAAACAACAAGCCAAGCAUCAGGGGAAAAAAAUCUAUUUACAAAUGACAGUUGCCAGUGGUUGGGCAAUAGGAGAUUCUCCAACGUGGUUAAAGGAUGGAAAUAAUGUUUCAGAGACAAAGGAAUAACAGUGGUUUUUUACAGUUUUAAGGUAUAAAUUGUUCUAAGUACCACUCUGGAAAAAGGUAUUUUACAAGAGUUAAGCCGCAACCAAACUUCACAAAAAUCAAAUUUAUUUCAGGCUCAGUUAGUGACUUUCUGGCUCAAGGAAGCAUGGCCUUAGGGUGGCAUGGACAACUUCAUGUCACAUCCCUUCCUCUGUGCUGGUUUUCUCAGGUUCCUGAGCUGUACUUCUUUCUCCUCACCUUUGAGCCAUUUGUGCCCCCUGCACCGUGCAUGCGCCCCACCACAGAGUAGUUCAUAACAGGACAAGGUCAUGUUUCUGCAGAGGUUGCAGGGUCACCAGAAUUCACAUUUCUUUCUAGCCACAUGUCAUUUCUCUCCUGGCAUGGAAAAAGUAAUUAGCUUCCCCAUCCCCCCCAUACUGAGAACAGAGUUCAUUUCCUUUGAGAGGAAGGGUGCCGCUUCCUUUCUUUACUGGGUGAACAUCAGCAAAUGAAAAUCAUUACUGGUUCACUCAAUAUAUUUGUCAGGAGACAUUUUAGCUGAUUGUUUUGAGUGAAGGGAAAUUCCUUUCACAGGACAUUGCCUCACAAACCCUCAGUCUGAUGUUCAGAGAGAAAAUGAAGCUGAAAAUGAUGGCUAUCACCCACUUGAGGCAGAAACAUUUUUAACAUGGUUCCAUAAGAUGCAGGGCAAUUUCU